rnacentral:lncRNA from 1 species
CACGGUGAAAUCUACAAUAUAACAUUUUACAAGAUAAUUAACUAACAUAUAAUUACAAUUACGCUAUGACAAUUAAUAUACACUUUAAACUUAUCCAAACACUAAAAUACUGAUUUACUGGUCAUAAACCAGAACUGUCUAUGCAGUGUCUACCUACUGUGUCUCCACUGGCACAAAUGCCGUGGGCACACAGCGUAAGCAAAACCUGCAAUUUCGUUGUUUAGCGGAUUAAUACAUAAAUAUUAGCUUUUGUAUGGUAUUAAAUUCGUAUUUAAUUCAGGAAAUAGUUUUAAUUCUUUUACUGAAAACUAUAUUUUCUAGGAAUUGAAAGAAUUUUUUAAGGCCCAUCUACACGACACGACUAGUCGAAUACGAUUCUUAUCCUGGCCACAGAAUAGAAAAUAGAUCUAUUUUCUAUUCUGUGUCCUAGCGUAUGAAAACGAUUGCUGACGCCACUAUUCCUGUUCAUCAGUUUAUGGCGAAGUUUGAAAUGUGACAUUUUUACACGCAUUUAUUCGAAUACAUACGCCAGGAUAAGAAUCGUACACGACUAGUCGUAUCGUGUAGAUAUGCCUUUAGGAUUUUAUAAAAGCUAUAACAGCUAUUUCAAUUAAGGUUGUCCCCCGAGCAAAGCGGAAAAGUCGAAUACGAGCGCGAAAGGCUGCUGGGAAUCGCUAAUAAAUGCAUUCAUUUAAUAGCUUUAAUAAUUCAUUCAUGAAAUAGCUGUAUACAUAUGCGAAGCAAUAUCGCGAUAGUCAUCGAGCAUGACGAUAAUUUCGAUAUAUCGUCGCUCAAGUUUCUACCCAGAAAGAUCCUGGGUAAGAGGCUGGUUUCUAAAUUGAAAAUAUCGCGAUAAAAGAAAAUAUCGCCCAACCCUAAUUAACCGUAAAACGAAAUAAAGGCCAUCAAAAUACCAUAUCCACAUUUUGAAUUCGAAUUACACUGUUUACGAUUUUGUCGAAAACCCAGUCUUCAGUUGAAGUGGAUGCUGUCAAACCGGAAAAAAACCCCGGUAGGUCCAGUGGACAACUUGCAUGUUAGACUAAAUUUUAAUCUAAGUAAAGAGAAGGGAAUCAAACACCACAGCUAAAAAGAACAUAAUGAAAUUAGUAAAAUUGCAAAAUUUGGUUGCGAAAUGUUUGGAAAAUAGUACUUGCAAAUUUUGUAUAUAUGUUUGUAUUACGUCCGGAAAUUGUUACCCGUUUUCGGCUCAAAAAUGGUAACAUUAAGUUCCGCUACAACAUACACCAAAUAUACAAACUUCGCAAGGUUAUAUUUUCCGAUUUAUGCAACAUUUCGUAACCAAAUUUUGACAUUUUACUAAUUUUAAUAAGUUCUGUACGGGAAUUUACUUUUUUUAUCUAGAUCAAAAACGAGUCUAACAUGCAACUUGUCUGUUGGAUGCUUCUUGUUCUGACUGUGUCAAUGUAAUCAUUGCCAUUGGGCUACCACCGGGAUAUAUUUUACAUACAGUUUUAUUUCAUUAUUUUGUCAGACGGCCCUGUAAAAUAUAUUUUAAGUCCUGUAAAAUUAAACGCCAGUAUAUACUCGUUG